rnacentral:rRNA from 1 species
GUGUCAGCCGCCGCGGUAAGACGGAGGGUGCUAGCGUUGUUCGGAAUUACUGGGCGUAAAGGGCGCGUAGGCGGCCUGGUCAGUCGGAUGUGAAAGCCCGGGGCUCAACCCCGGAACGGCAUCCGAGACGGCCAGGCUGGAGACCGGGAGAGGAGAGUGGAAUAGCCAGUGUAGAGGUGAAAUUCGUAGAUAUUGGCUGGAACACCGGUGGCGAAAGCGGCUCUCUGGCCCGGUUCUGACGCUGAGGCGCGAAAGCGUGGGGAGCAAACAGGAUUAGAUACCCGGGUAGUCC